rnacentral:rRNA from 1 species
AUACGGAGGGUGCGAGCGUGAAUCGGAAUUACUGGGCGUAAAGCGUACGUAGGCGGUUGGUUAAGUUAGAUGUGAAAGCCCCGGGCUUAACCUGGGAACUGCAUUUAAAACUGGCGAACUAGAGUUGAGUAGAGGGGAGUGGAAUUUCAGGUGUAGCGGUGAAAUGCGUAGAGAUCUGAAGGAACACCAGUGGCGAAGGCGACUCCCUGGACUCGAACUGACGCUGAGGUACGAAAGCGUGGGUAGCAAACGGGAUUAGAUACCCUAGUAGUCC